rnacentral:rRNA from 1 species
GACGAACGCUGGCGGCGUGCCUAAUACAUGCAAGUUGAGCGAUGAAGAUUGGUGCUUGCACCAAUUUGAAGAGCAGCGAACGGGUGAGUAACGCGUGGGGAAUCUGCCUUUGAGCGGGGGACAACAUUUGGAAACGAAUGCUAAUACCGCAUAAUAACUUUAAACAUAAGUUUUAAGUUUGAAAGAUGCAAUUGCAUCACUCAAAGAUGAUCCCGCGUUGUAUUAGCUAGUUGGUGAGGUAAAGGCUCACCAAGGCGAUGAUACAUAGCCGACCUGAGAGGAUGAGCGGCCACAUUGGGACUGGGACACGGCCCAAACUCCUACGGGAGGCAGCAGUAGGGAAUCUUCAGCAAUGGACGAAAGUCUGACCGAGCAACGCCGCGUGAGGGAAGAAGGUUUUCGGAUCGUAAAACUCUGUUGGUAGAGAAGAACGUUGGUGAGAGUGGAAAGCUCAUCAAGUGACGGUAACUACCCAGAAAGGGACGGCUAACUACGUG